rnacentral:rRNA from 1 species
GACGAACGCUGGCGGCGUGCUUAACACAUGCAAGUCGAACGGAAAGGCCCUGCUUUUGUGGGGUGCUCGAGUGGCGAACGGGUGAGUAACACGUGAGUAACCUGCCCUUGACUUUGGGAUAACUACAGGAAACUGGGGCUAAUACCGGAUAGGAGCUCCUGCUGCAUGGUGGGGGUUGGAAAGUUUCGGCGGUUGGGGAUGGACUCGCGGCUUAUCAGCUUGUUGGUGGGGUAGUGGCUUACCAAGGCUUUGACGGGUAGCCGGCCUGAGAGGGUGACCGGCCACAUUGGGACUGAGAUACGGCCCAGACUCCUACUGGAGGCAGCAGUGGGGAAUAUUGCACAAUGGGCGGAAGCCUGAUGCAGCAACGCCGCGUGCGGGAUGACGGCCUUCGGGUUGUAAACCGCUUUCGCCUGUGACGAAGCGUGAGUGACGGUAAUGGGUAAAGAAGCACCGGCUAACUACGUG